rnacentral:rRNA from 1 species
UAGGGAAUCUUCCGCAAUGGGCGAAAGCCUGACGGAGCAACGCCGCGUGAGUGAUGAAGGUCUUCGGAUCGUAAAACUCUGUUAUUAGGGAAGAACAAAUGUGUAAGUAACUAUGCACGUCUUGACGGUACCUAAUCAGAAAGCCACGGCUAACUACGUGCCAGCAGCCGCGGUAAUACGUAGGUGGCAAGCGUUAUCCGGAAUUAUUGGGCGUAAAGCGCGCGUAGGCGGUUUUUUAAGUCUGAUGUGAAAGCCCACGGCUCAACCGUGGAGGGUCCUUGGAAACUGGAAUACUUGAGUGCAGAAGAGGAAAGUGGAAUUCCAUGUGUAGCGGUGAAAUGCGCAGAGAUAUGGAGGAACACCAGUGGCGAAGGCGACUUUCUGGUCUGUAACUGACGCUGAUGUGCGAAAGCGUGGGGAUCAAACAGG